GACCAACCCGGUGAAGGUGCACUUCGCUGAAGAGGUGCUGGUCAGUGGGCACAGCCAGGGGAACUCUCUGCUUUGUAUGCCCAACGUGCUCAAGGUGUACCUGGAGAACGGACAGACCAAAGCUUUCAAGUUUGAGGCAAACACAACUGUGAAGGUAUUAAAGAUAAAUCUGAACCCUUUUUUUUUCCAUAGGAAAGUUACUCAAAGGACCACCAGGCAGCUUGCCCUCUCUCUGCCUUGGUGGGCUCGUGCCUUCGGCAGCCUGCAUGCCCAUGACAAAAUAUGUACCGUAGUAUACUCUUUAGUUACAUAACCACCCAUAAGAUGGUUUUGGGGGAGACUCGGGGGUGUUUGUUUUUGUCACUUCCUGCAGGGGAGGGACUCGGGACUCAGCGAGGUGAAGUGGCUU
rnacentral:lncRNA from 1 species